GACGAACGCUGGCGGCGUGCUUAACACAUGCAAGUCGAACGGAAAGGCCUGCAGCUUGCUGCGGGUACUCGAGUGGCGAACGGGUGAGUAACACGUGGGUGAUCUGCCUUGCACUUCGGGAUAAGCUUGGGAAACUGGGUCUAAUACCGGAUAGGACAGCUGUUUAGUGUCAGUUGUGGAAAGUUUUUUCGGUGCAAGAUGAGCUCGCGGCCUAUCAGCUUGUUGGUGGGGUAAUGGCCUACCAAGGCGUCGACGGGUAGCCGGCCUGAGAGGGUGUACGGCCACAUUGGGACUGAGAUACGGCCCAGACUCCUACGGGAGGCAGCAGCGGGGAAUAUUGCACAAUGGGCGGAAGCCUGAUGCAGCGACGCCGCGUGGGGGAUGAAGGCCUUCGGGUUGUAAACUCCUUUCGACAGGGACGAAGCUUUUGUGACGGUACCUGUAUAAGAAGCACCGGCUAACUACGUG
rnacentral:rRNA from 1 species